rnacentral:rRNA from 1 species
UACGUAGGGCGCAAGCGUUAUCCGGAAUUAUUGGGCGUAAAGAGCUCGUAGGCGGUUUGUCGCGUCUGCUGUGAAAACCCGAGGCUCAACCUCGGGCCUGCAGUGGGUACGGGCAGACUAGAGUGCGGUAGGGGAGAUUGGAAUUCCUGGUGUAGCGGUGGAAUGCGCAGAUAUCAGGAGGAACACCGGUGGCGAAGGCGGGUCUCUGGGCAGUAACUGACGCUGAGGAGCGAAAGCGUGGGGAGCGAACAGG